UACGAAGGGGGCUAGCGUUGUUCGGAAUUACUGGGCGUAAAGCGCACGUAGGCGGAUUUGUUAGUCAGGGGUGAAAUCCCGGGGCUCAACCUCGGAACUGCCUUUGAUACUGCAAAUCUCUAGUCCGGUAGUGGUGAGUGGAAUUCCUAGUGUAGAGGUGAUAUUCGUGGAUAUUAGGAAGAACACCAGUGGCGAAGGCGGCUCACUGGAUCGGCACUGACGCUGAGGUGCGAAAGCGUGCGGAGCUAACUGU
rnacentral:rRNA from 1 species